AGCACGUUCCUUAGAUCCACCUGAUGGGGCUUUUGCCCACCAACUUUACUGGUUGGGUAUCAUUGGUGAAUGAGUCAUUGACGUGCAAGACAACGCACCUCCUUCUGUUUGCCACAUC